CCAGACUCCUACGGGAGGCAGCAGUGAGGAAUAUUGGUCAAUGGGCUUACGCCUGAACCAGCCAAGUCGCGUGAGGGAAGACUGCCCUAUGGGUUGUAAACCUCUUUUGUCAGGGAGCAAUUGGCGCUACGUGUAGCGUUAUCGAGAGUACCUGAAGAAAAAGCAUCGGCUAACUCCGUGCCAGCAGCCGCGGUAAUACGGAGGAUGCGAGCGUUAUCCGGAUUUAUUGGGUUUAAAGGGUGCGUAGGCGGAAUGCCAAGUCAGGGUAAAAGUCGCGGGGCUAAACCACACUCCGCCGUUGAAACUGGCGUUCUUGAGUGGGCGAGAAGUAUGCGGAAUGCGUGGUGUAGCGGUGAAAUGCAUAGAUAUUGCGCAGAACUCCGAUUGCGAAGGCAGCAUACCGGCGGCGAUCUGACGCUGAGGCACGAAAGCGUGGGUAUCGAACAGGAUUAGAUACCCGGGUA
rnacentral:rRNA from 1 species